GACGGAAGGUGCAAGCGUUGCUCGGAAUCACUGGGCGUAAAGGGUGCGUAGGCGGCCGUGCAAGUCUGGCGUGAAAGCCCCGGGCUCAGCCCGGGAAGUGCGCUCGAAACUGCGCGGCUCGAGUGCCGGAGGGGAGAGUGGAAUUCCUGGUGUAGCGGUGAAAUGCGUAGAUAUCAGGAGGAACACCGGUGGCGAAGGCGGGAUCCUGGGCCAGUACUGACGGCUGAGGAGCGAAAAGCGUGGGGAGCAAACAGG
rnacentral:rRNA from 1 species